CCAUAAUGAGAGAUCUAGAGACUGACAGCUGCCCACGAUCCAAAAUGUGCCCAUUCACAUUGGAUUUGAGAUCAAAUUGUGCAUCUCGAUCUGACGGAAAAACUUAUGUUAAUGAAGCAACAAUACACUGCUUGAUGAAAUGUUUGACAACAGAAGACAAAUUAACAACCGGCUCCAGUGUUUACUGCCAAGAUGAUGCCCCCUAAACUGCCAGUAAGAUUCAAGAGAGAAAUCAUGGCUCAUCCCCUUCAGACUCUGUAUGCAUAAUAUCUCUGAUUGUUUUCGACAGUCAGUUUUUUUCCGUUGCUUCAGAUACACCUUUUUAUGUUAAUUUUUUUUCUUGUAAAUUCUUCUCAUUGGAAUUGUAUUUUUGUUUAACUUUUUUUUUUCUCUCUCUUUAGUGCUUAUUCCAAAUUGUGUCACAUAACAAGGGUUAAGUGGUAGAGCACCUACUUGGUGAAUUUUCCCUUGAGGUUUAAAUUAGGAAAAUAAAGACAUUAUUAUUUUUA